rnacentral:rRNA from 1 species
CGUGUAGGCGGUUGGGCAAGUCAGAUGUGAAAGCCUUCCGCUCAACGGAAGAAGGGCAUUUGAAACUACCCGGCUGGAGUACGGGAGAGGAGAGUGGAAUUCCCGGUGUAGAGGUGAAAUUCGUAGAUAUCGGGAGGAACACCAGUGGCGAAGGCGGCUCUCUGGUCCGAUACUGACGCUGAGACGCGAAAGCGUGGGGAGCAAACAGGAUUAGAUACCCUGGUAGUCCACGCCGUAAACGAUGGGCACUAGGUGUAGGAGGUAUUGACCCCUUCUGUGCCGAAGCUAACGCAUUAAGUGCCCCGCCUGGGGAUACGGCCGCAAGGCUAAAA